rnacentral:rRNA from 1 species
CCUACGGGCGGCAGCAGUAGGGAAUCUUUCACAAUGGGCGAAAGCCUGAUGGAGCAACGCCGCGUGGAGGAUGAAGGUUUUCGGAUUGUAAACUCCUUUUGUUAGAGAAGAUAAUGACGGUAUCUAACGAAUAAGCACCGGCUAACUCCGUGCCAGCAGCCGCGGUAAUACGGAGGGUGCAAGCGUUACUCGGAAGCACUGGGCGUAAAGAGCGCGUAGGCGGGAUAGCAAGUCAGAUGUGAAAUCCUAUGGCUUAACCAUAGAACUGCAUUUGAAACUGUUAUUCUAGAGUAUGGGAGAGGUAGGUGGAAUUCUUGGUGUAGGGGUAAAAUCCGUAGAGAUCAAGAGGAAUACUCAUUGCGAAGGCGACCUGCUAGAACAUAACUGACGCUGAUGCGCGAAAGCGUGGGGAGCAAACAGGAUUAGAGACCCUUGUAGUC